AUGGCUCAGAUUGAACGCUGGCGGCAUGCCUUACACAUGCAAGUCGAACGGCAGCACGGGGCAACCUGGUGGCGAGUGGCGAACGGGUGAGUAAUGCAUCGGAACGUGCCAUUGAGUGGGGGGUAACGUAGCGAAAGUUACGCUAAUACCGCAUAUUCUGUGAGCAGGAAAGCAGGGGAUCGCAAGACCUUGCGCUCUUUGAGCGGCCGAUGUCAGAUUAGCUAGUUGGUGAGGUAACGGCUUACCAAGGCGACGAUCUGUAGCGGGUCUGAGAGGAUGAUCCGCCACACUGGAACUGAGACACGGUCCAGACUCCUACGGGAGGCAGCAGUGGGGAAUUUUGGACAAUGGGGGCAACCCUGAUCCAGCCAUGCCGCGUGAGUGAAGAAGGCCUUCGGGUUGUAAAGCUCUUUCGGCCGGGAAGAAAUCGCAUGGGUUAAUACCCUGUGUGGAUGACGGUACCGGCAUAAGAAGCACCGGCUAACUACGUG
rnacentral:rRNA from 1 species